GAUGAAGAACGCAGCGAAAUGCGAUACGUAAUGUGAAUUGCAGAUUUCAGUGAAUCAUCGAAUCUUUGAACGCACAUUGCGCCCGCCAGUAUUCUGGCGGGCAUGCCUGUUCGAGCGUCAUUUCAACCAUCAAGCGCCUCGCUUGUGUUGGGGCCCUGCGGCUGCCGCAGGCCCCUAAAUCCAGUGGCGGGCUCGUCGUCGUACCGAGUGCAGUAAACAUCCUCGCUCAGGGAGCCCGACGGGUGCCGGCCGUGAAACCCCCCCUCCUCAAGGUUGACCUCGGAUCAGGUAGGAAUACCCGCUGAACUUAAGCAUAUCAAUAAGCGGAGGA
rnacentral:misc_RNA from 1 species